rnacentral:rRNA from 1 species
UACGUAGGGGGCUAGCGUUGUCCGGAUUUAUUGGGCGUAAAGAGCGUGUAGGCGGCCAGGUAGGUCUGCUGUGAAAACUCGAGGCUCAACCUCGAGAUGUCGGCGGAAACCAUCUGGCUAGAGUCCGGAAGAGGAGAGUGGAAUUCCUGGUGUAGCGGUGAAAUGCGCAGAUAUCAGGAAGAACACCAGUGGCGAAGGCGGCUCUCUGGGACGGUACUGACGCUGAGGAGCGAAAGCAUGGGGAGCGAACAGG